AAUGGCCGCCGUGUGACGGUUUAUGUCGUUUUGAAACCGAAACUUCAUUUUUUCAAUUGAAUUAACCAUGGUGCGUACGUACAAGAAGAAAAGUAGCGACACCACAUCAGAAGACGUUUUGAGAAAAGCGUUAGAUCACUACAACAGUACUUCUGCUGGAUACAAGAAAACAAGUCAACUGUUUUGUGUACCACGCUCAACCCUACAAGAUUAUUUGAAAAAAAAUCGACAAGUCACCCGAGCCGGAUAAAGCUACAUCAAAUAUGAAAUUCGGGUAUCAAAGACCCAGACAAGUGGAAAACUACACAAAGCAAGUCACACAAAACAACGAAACAGACAAAGGGCUACCGAAAUCUAAUACACCAAUAGAAAUCAAGAAAAACCAAAAUCAAUUCAAGGAGUAAAUCGAACAUAAAACAAAAAGGAAACUCAGAGUUGUGACGGAUAUUUUUUGCUUAGUAUGUCGUGAGAGUUGGGCUAGCAGUAGACCUAGCGAAUAAUGGAUCGAGUGCACUGUUUUUAUGCCCCCGGCAUCUACUGAUGCAGAAGGCAUAUAGUGAUUGUCCUGUCCGUCCGUCCGUUCGUCCGUCCGUACGAGGCUAACCAAAUGGGACCGUUUCGUCUAGCAUCAAUAUCCCUUACUAUAAUAACUUGAUACGAAUGCAGAUGUAACAUGUGACCAUUUCUCAUCUUCAGACAUCACCUGACCUCAGUUUGACCUUGAUCUUGACCUCAUUUUGGACUUAGGUUGCUUUAUAUGGGCCAUCUCUUGGUUAACCAAGUGGGACCGUUUCGUCUAGCAUCAAUACCCCUUACUAGAAUGACUUGAUACUAAUGCAGAUGUACCCUGUAACUAUUCCUCGUCUUCAGACAUCACCUGACCUCAGAUUGGCCUUGAACUUGACCUCGUUGUGGACUUAGGUUGAUUUGUAUCGACAAGAUGCCGGGGGCAUCAAGCGUUUAUUGAACGCAGCUUCUUGUUUAAAAUAUGGGCACAUGUAGAAUAUGCAGACACAACAUGCAUAACUGUGAUUCUGAUACAGAUAAGAGCAAAAUGAAAAAAAGAUAUACUGAGAGAGUUUUUUUACGUUCAGGGUUUCUAGACUUGUGGAUUCAGGAAAAGUUAACUGUUCAAGUUCAAUGUUCAAGUUCAUGUUUAAUGUGAAUAUAAACACACAUGCUGUUGUUCAAAGUAAAAAAACUAUAUGG
rnacentral:lncRNA from 1 species